GACGAACGCUGGCGGCGUGCUUAACACAUGCAAGUCGAACGAUGAACCCGGAGCUUGCUCCGGCGGAUUAGUGGCGAACGGGUGAGUAACACGUGAGUAACCUGCCCUUGACUCUGGGAUAACUGCGGGAAACUGUAGCUAAUACCGGAUACGACCCUCGGCGGCAUCGCCAGGGGGUGGAAAGAAUUUCGGUCAAGGAUGGACUCGCGGCCUAUCAGCUAGUUGGUGAGGUAACGGCUCACCAAGGCGACGACGGGUAGCCGGCCUGAGAGGGGGACCGGCCAAACUGGGACUCAGAGACGGCACAGACUGCUGCGGGAGGCAGCAGUGGGGAAUGUUGCCCAAUGGGCGCAAGCCUGAUGCAGCGACGCCGCGCGAGGGAUGACGGCCUUCGGGUUGGAAACCUCUUUCAGCACCGACGAAGCGCAAGUGACGGUAGGUGCAGAAGAAGGACCGGCCAACUGCGUGCCAGCCGCCGCCGUAA
rnacentral:rRNA from 1 species